rnacentral:rRNA from 1 species
GCUCAACCGAAGAAGUGCAUCGGAAACUGGGAAACUUGAAUGCGGAAGAGGACAGUGGAACUCCAUGUGUAGCGGUGAAAUGCGUAGAUAUAUGGAAGAACACCAGUGGCGAAGGCGGCUGUCUGGUCUGUAACUGACGCUGAGGCUCGAAAGUAUGGGUAGCAAACAGGAUUAGAUACCCUGGUAGUCCAUACCGUAAACGAUGAAUGCUAAGUGUUGGAGGGUUUCCGCCCUUCAGUGCUGCAGCUAACGCAUUAAGCAUUCCGCCUGGGGAGUACGGCCGCAAGGCUGAAACUCAAAGGAAUUGACGGGGGCCCGCACAAGCGGUGGAGCAUGUGGUUUAAUUCGAAGCUACGCGAAGAACCUUACCAGGUCUUGACAUACUAUGUAAAUCUAAGAGAUUAGACGUUCCCUUCGGGGACAUGGAUACAGGUGGUGCAUGGUUGUCGUCAGCUCGUGUCGUGAGAUGUUGGGUUAAGUCCCGCAACGAGCGCAACCCUUAUUAUCAGUUGCCAGCAUUAAGUUGGGCACUCUGGUGAGACUGCCGGUGACAAACCGGAGGAGGGUGGGGAUGACGUCAAAUCAUCAUGCCCCUUAUGACCUGGGCUACACACGUGCUACAAUGGAUGGUACAACG